CAAACGCUGGCGGCAGGCCUAAUACAUGCAAGUCGAACGGCUCUUCGGAGCAGUGGCGGACGGGUGAGUAACGCGUGGGAAUGUGCCCUUUGGUACGGAACAACACAGGGAAACUUGUGCUAAUACCGUACGUGCCCUUCGGGGGAAAGAUUUAUCGCCAUUGGAGCAGCCCGCGUUGGAUUAGGUGGUUGGUGAGGUAAAGGCUCACCAAGCCUACGAUCCAUAGCUGGUCUGAGAGGAUGACCAGCCACACUGGGACUGGGACACGGCCCAGACUCCUACGGGAGGCAGCAGUAGGGAAUCUUGCGCAAUGGGCGAAAGCCUGACGCAGCCAUGCCGCGUGUAUGAUGAAGGUCUUAGGAUUGUAAAAUCCUUUCACCUGUGAAGAUAAUGACUGUAGCCGGAGAAGAAGCCCCGGCUAACUUCGUGCCAGCCGCCGCAGUAAAAC
rnacentral:rRNA from 1 species